CGCGGUGAGCGGCAGAUGAGGGAUCCGCGCGGGGCUGAGCGGAGCGGACUCAAACCGGCGACCGAAGGACAAGUCCGGGGACAAGUUUUGAGGACGGCGGCACGGAUCGAGACUACGAGAUAAGAUGAAGUAAAGGAGCUCACAUCGCCUUAGAGGGGAGCCAGCUGUAUCAGAGAGCUGAACGCCAUCCUCCGCGCUGCGAUGGAACACAGGACGGGCGAGAGGAGGAAU
rnacentral:lncRNA from 1 species